GAUGAACGCUGGCGGCGUGCCUAAUACAUGCAAGUCGAGCGAACAGAUAAGGAGCUUGCUCCUUUGACGUUAGCGGCGGACGGGUGAGUAACACGUGGGUAACCUACCUAUAAGACUGGGAUAACUUCGGGAAACCGGAGCUAAUACCGGAUAACAUUUGGAACCGCAUGGUUCUAAAGUGAAAGAUGGUUUUGCUAUCACUUAUAGAUGGACCCGCGCCGUAUUAGCUAGUUGGUAAGGUAACGGCUUACCAAGGCGACGAUACGUAGCUGACCUGAGAGGGUGAUCGGCCACACUGGAACUGAGACACGGUCCAGACUCCUACGGGAGGCAGCAGUAGGGAAUCUUCCGCAAUGGGCGAAAGCCUGACGGAGCAACGCCGCGUGAGUGAUGAAGGGUUUCGGCUCGUAAAACUCUGUUAUUAGGGAAGAACAAAUGUGUAAGUAACUGUGCACGUCCUGACGGUACCUAAUCAGAAAGCCACGGCUAACUACGUG
rnacentral:rRNA from 1 species